rnacentral:misc_RNA from 1 species
GGCACUCAAAAUUACUUCAUCCUUUAUGCUUUUCACUCACGAGUACAACACUGUCGCAUGGAGUGGUGUAUAGCUGCAAUAAGAAAGAAUAAUGCAAAAUAAUGUGAGCUUCAUAACUCAAUACACUGUAACAGUAAUUAUUUAGAGAAGAAUAAGGAAGAAGAAUGUUGGAGUGAGAAGAAUGAGAGAGGAUGCGUGUAUAUGUGUGAGGAGAUAGAGAGAGCAAAAUACCUAUGCAUGCAUGCCUUGGAGAAAAUAAUUAGGUUGUAUGGGCAUUUGCAGGGUCGAAUGCAGGAUUAUAUAUCAAGG